UACGAGUGCCUCGAGCGUUAUCCGGAAUCAUUGGGCGUAAAGGGUGCGUAGGAGGCCAUGUUAGUCUCUCGUUAAAACUUCCGGCUUAACCGGAAAUCUGCGGGAGAAACGGCAUGGCUAGAGGAUGACAGGGGUUUGCGGAACUCAUGGUGUAGGGGUGAAAUCCGUUGAUAUCAUGGGGAACACCGAAAGCGAAGGCAGCAAACUGGGUCACUCCUGACUCUGAAGCACGAAAGCGUGGGUCGCGAAUGGG
rnacentral:rRNA from 1 species